AUGGCGGACGAUAGAGCCGAGCCGCUUAGGGAUCCGGAGGCUGAACGUUAUUUAAUGGGCAUCAUAAACAACGAGAUUCCUUAUGUGCCGGGCUCAGAAUAUGAGCAAGAAGAGGAUGUAGUCUCUUCUUUUCUGAACCUUAACGGUGGAACAGACAUUAUCGAUGAUCAAGAAGGUGAAGAAACGGACAUUGUCGACGGAGGUCAACCGUCAACAAACGACGAUCUCGAAUUGCAAGUAGCAACCACCUCCGGCGAGGUAUAUAUAUACAUUGAGCCUCUCGUGAUACAAACUUACUGA
rnacentral:rRNA from 1 species